CAGUCCAUGCGCCGCCGCCGCCGCCUCCUCCCUACCCUUUUCACCUGCAACGCCCUCCUCUCUUCCCUCGUCCGCUCCCCGUCCCCUCCCUCCGUCCCUGUCGCCAUCUUUCGCCAGAUGCUCGGCCUCGGCCUCUCCCCCUCCGUCACCACUUUCAACAUAUUGAUCCACGGACUGUGCAAAAGAUUCGAUUUUGACGGCGCCCGUGAAAUGAUGAAGUCGAUGGAUGGGUUCGCCUGCUCGCCCAAUACCAUCACCUACAACACUGUCUUGAGCGCCUACUGUAAGAAAGGGAUGCUGAAGGAGGCGAGGGACUUGCUUUCGGACAUGAAGGAGAAGGGGCUGGAGGCGAGUGGGACCACUUAUAAUACGCUGAUCGGGGCUUAUUGUAGACUCGGAUGGCUUAAGGAGGCCACGAUGACCGUGGAGGUGAUGACUGCCUCUAGGUGUUUGCCGGACUUGUGCACAUAUAACAUGCUUGUAUCGGGGUUUUGUAAGGAGGGGAGGGUUGAUGAGGGGUUUAGGAUGAAAGAGGAGAUGGAGAGGAUGAAGGUGGCGCCAGAUGUUGUGACUUAUAACACUUUAAUUAAUGGGUGUUUUCAGUGGAGGAGCGGGGAGGAGGCUUUCAGGGUUUUGGAUGAGAUGAGAAAGAAAGGAUUGAGGCCGGGGAUUAUCACGCAUAAUAUUAUAGUGAGCGGGUUGUGUAAAGAAGGGAAGAUGGAUGUGGCUGUUGGGAGAUUGAAGAUGAUGGAGGAGGAGGGUGUGGUUCCUGAUGUUGUUACUUAUAAUACUUUGAUUAGUGGGUUCUGUAAGGUUGGGAAUAUGGAGAAAGCUUUCAAAUUGAUGGAUGAAAUGGUUGGAAACUUGCUUAAGAUGGAUACGUUCACGCUUAAUACCGUCCUUCACAGUCUGUGUAAAGUGAAGAGGUUUGGUGAAGCACUUGAGCUUCUUGGUAGCCCUCCAAAGAGGGGAUUUUGCCCUGAUGAGGUCAGUUAUUGUACAGUGAUCAGUGCUUUCUUUAAGGAUGAAAGGCCAAAAGAGGCCAUGGAUCUUUGGAAGGAGAUGCACAGUAGAAAGAUAAUGCCGAGUGUGUCGACCUAUAAUGCAGUGAUUAAUGGUUUGUGUAGGUCGGGCAGGACUGAGGAGGCUUUAGACAAGUUGAAUGAGCUUUUGCAAAGAGGUCUUGUGCCGGAUGAGACUACAUAUAACACACUCAUUCAUGCUUAUUGUAAAGAAGGGGAUUUGGAGAAGGCAUUCCAGUUUCAUAAUAAAAUGGUGGAGAAUUCGUUUAAGCCGAAUGUUGUUACUUGUAAUAUACUAAUGCAUGGGCUGUGUAGUAAUGGCAAAGUGGAAAAGGCAGUGAAGCUCUUCGAUUCAUGGGUGGCCAAAGGGAAGAAGGUUGAUGUUAUAUCAUACAAUACUCUAAUACAAGGUCUUUGCAAAGAAGGGAAGAUUGAUGAAGCCUUGGAGCUAUUUGCUGGCAUGAAAGAGAAGGGAUUGGAUCCUGAUGCUUGUACUUAUAAUUCAGUUCUAUGUGCGCUUUCAGAGGCAGGAAGAUCGGAGGAGGCAGAAAAAAUGUUGUCAGGAUGGGCUGAAUCUGGACACUUGUCAGAAAAAUUCAUUCUUCUUUCAUCAGAUCAAGCUCUUCCUAUUAUGGAGGCAGAGAAGAAGCAAGAGAGGUCGAAUGGGGAUGGAAAUCAAGAGGAAGAACAACGUACAAGUAGCCAUACUGAGCAUAUUAAUGAGCUAUGUGCAAAUGGGAAAUUCAAAGAAGCUAAACAAGCUAUGGAAGAAAUGAUGCAGAAGGGCAUGCCUGUUGAUAGUUCUACCUAUAUCACUUUGAUGGAUGGCUUUAUUAAGAGGCAGAAAAGAUUGACAAAAGGUGAUAAUUAAGUCAUCUUAUCGAAGCGUACUUCCUUCUAUAAUGGUACUAGGUGGAGUUAUAAAAGCUUGUGCCUUGAGAUGCCAAACUGGAGGGUGGUGUCUUGCUGAGACCCCGACUCGACCACCAAGCUCUGCAAUAGUGAUGAAUCUGUAGCGGCGUGGCUUAACCUUACUUCGUAGUCCCCGUGGAAGAGCUGGGCUUCCAAAAGGCCAUUAGCAUCGGUUGUUCCAACUACACGUCCUGACCUCCACUCUGCAAUCAGUUUGUCAACAACGUCUCCUGUGGGGAGAUUCUUGAAGUUGUUGUCAGUUAAGCACAUUCUAUAGCACCCUUCUGGCUUCCAUCCUGUCCACAUUACGAUCCCUUGCACCGCUGGGUGCGAGUAUGCUUCUCUUAAGAUUUGUUCCAAAGCUACUGCCUGGAGCCAUUACACAAUUUGGUUAAGAAUGACUAAUUUUUCUUUUAUUAAUU